rnacentral:rRNA from 1 species
CAACCUGCCGUCUACUCUUGGACAGCCUUCUGAAAGGAAGAUUAAUACAAGAUGGCAUCAUGAGUCCGCAUGUUCACAUGAUUAAAGGUAUUCCGGUAGACGAUGGGGAUGCGUUCCAUUAGAUAGUAGGCGGGGUAACGGCCCACCUAGUCUUCGAUGGAUAGGGGUUCUGAGAGGAAGGUCCCCCACAUUGGAACUGAGACACGGUCCAAACUCCUACGGGAGGCAGCAGUGAAGAAUAUUGGUCAAUGGGCGAGAGCCUGAACCAGCCAAGUAGCGUGAAGGAUGACUGCCCUAUGGGUUGUAAACUUCUUUUAUAAAGGAAUAAAGUCGGGUAUGGAUACCCGUUUGCAUGUACUUUAUGAAUAAGGAUCGGCUAACUCCGUGCCAGCAGCCGCGGUAAUACGGAGGAUCCGAGCGUUAUCCGGAUUUAUUGGGUUUAAAGGGAGCGUAGAUGGAUGUUUAAGUCAGUUGUGAAAGUUUGCGGCUCAACCGUAAAAUUGCAGUUGAUACUGGAUAUCUUGAGUGCAGUUGAGGCAGGCGGAAUUCGUGGUGUAGCGGUGAAAUGCUUAGAUAUCACGAAGAACUCCGAUUG